rnacentral:rRNA from 1 species
UACGAAGGGGGCUAGCGUUGUUCGGAUUUACUGGGCGUAAAGCGCACGUAGGCGGAUCGUUAAGUCGGGGGUGAAAUCCUGGAGCUCAACUCCAGAACUGCCUUCGAUACGUGGCGAUCUUGAGUCCGGAAGAGGUGAGUGGAACUCCUAGUGUAGAGGUGGAAUUCGUAGAUAUUAGGAAGAACACCAGUGGCGAAGGCGGCUCACUGGUCCGGUACUGACGCUGAGGUGCGAAAGCGUGGGGAGCAAACAGG